rnacentral:rRNA from 1 species
GACGAACGCUGGCGGCGUGCUUAACACAUGCAAGUCGAACGGUGAAGCGCCUUCCUUUUUGGUGGGUGUGGAUGAGUGGCGAACGGGUGAGUAACACGUGAGUAACCUGCCCCCUUCUUCUGGAUAACCGCAUGAAAGUGUGGCUAAUACGGGAUAUUCUGGGUCUGUCGCAUGAUGGGUCUGGGAAAGAUAUUGUUUCGGUGGGGGAUGGGCUCGCGGCCUAUCAGCUUGUUGGUGGGGUGAUGGCCUACCAAGGCGGUGACGGGUAGCCGGCCUGAGAGGGUGGACGGUCACACUGGGACUGAGACACGGCCCAGACUCCUACGGGAGGCAGCAGUGGGGAAUAUUGCACAAUGGGCGCAAGCCUGAUUCAGCGACGCCGCGUGAGGGAUGGAGGCCUUCGGGUUGUGAACCUCUUUCGCCAGUGAAGCAGGCCUGCCUCGUUUGUGGGUGGGUUGACGGUAGCUGGAUAAGAAGCGCCGGCUAACUACGUG